UCAGCUUAACCCACAAUCUAAAAUUUCCCGAGAGAAGUUGGCGGCGGGGGGAGGAGAGAUCGAGCGAGAGCGCGAGAGAGAGAGCGGCGAUGGAGAAGAGGGCGAAGAAGCCGAUACAUCUCUUCUACUGCGCGGAGUCCGAAGAGCUCGCGAGGAAGGUCGCGGAGCAAUCCGAAUCCAUUCAGCUCCAAUCCAUUUCUUGGAGAAGCUUUGAUGAUGGAUUCCCGAAUCUCUUCAUCAACAAUGCACAUGAUAUUAGAGGGCAGCAUGUUGCUUUUUUAGCUUCUUUCAGUUCUCCUGGAGUAAUUUUUGAGCAGAUAUCUGCAAUAUUUGCGUUGCCAAAGCUCUUCAUUGCCUCCUUUACAUUGGUUUUACCAUUCUUCCCAACUGGUUCUUUCGAACGUGUGGAAGAAGAAGGAGAUGUGGCUACUGCAUUUACAAUGGCACGCAUAUUGUCAAUGAUCCCUAAAUCUAGGGGCGGUCCAACCAGUGUGGUCAUCUAUGACAUACAUGCUCUGCAGGAAAGAUUCUACUUUGGGGAUGAUGUCUUGCCUUGCUUUGAAAGUGGGAUACCUCUGUUGUUGCAACGUCUUCGCCAACUUCCUGAUGCUGAUAAUGUAACUAUAGCAUUCCCGGAUGAUGGUGCAUGGAAGCGUUUUCACAAGCAACUGCAAAAUUUUCCUAUGGUUGUUUGUGCAAAAGUUCGUGAAGGUGAUAAGAGGAUAGUUCGAAUUAAGGAAGGGAACCCUGAGGGUCGGCAUGUUGUAAUUGUUGAUGACUUGGUGCAGUCUGGAGGCACUCUUAUUGAAUGUCAGAAAUCCGAUCUGGAAUCACCAGUGAAGAAACUCACUGCCGGGAUUUCCUUUGCAGAAAGUUUUGGCUGCUCAUGGUGCUGCAAAAGUUAGUGCAUAUGUCACCCAUGGUGUGUUUCCCAAGCAAUCAUGGGAGCGAUUCCUGCAGAAUAGUUCUGAGGGGCUGGUGAACAGUUAUGCUUACUUCUGGAUAACAGAUUCCUGCCCGCUUACUGUCAAGGCCAUAGGCAAUAGAGCUCCAUUUGAGGUGCUCAGCCUUGCUGGAUCCAUUGCGGAUGCUCUUCAAAUCUAAUACUGCAAUAAACACUUGUAUUAGAAUAGAGAUGAACUUUGCAGAUAUUAUCCUAAUUUUUGUAAAAACUCAGAAAGACUCGUGUUAGGGAUGGAGAUAAGCUGAUGAACUUGUAUUCUUUUUGCAGGGAAAGGGUGAAGAAUGCCACUGAAAAUAUUCUAAUGUUUCUAAGCACCAUGAACUUGUAUUGGCUAGAUGAGUAACUAAAUUGUUCUCUAAUGAAAUAGUUGUGCCCGAAUUGUUCAAUCUCA